rnacentral:rRNA from 1 species
GAUCAUGGCUCAGGACGAACGCUGGCGGCGUGCUUAACACAUGCAAGUCGAACGCUGAAGCUCAGCUUGCUGGGUGGAUGAGUGGCGAACGGGUGAGUAACACGUGAGUAACCUGCCCUCUUCUUUGGGAUAACGCCCGGAAACGGGUACUAAUACUGGAUAUUCACUGAUCUUCGCAUGGGGGUUGGUGGAAAGGUUCUUUCUGGUGGGGAUGGGCUCGCGGCCUAUCAGCUUGUUGGUGGGGUG